rnacentral:lncRNA from 1 species
GUACUGACCUUCAGAGACUUGAGCCUGGUACAAUGGCGCCUACCAGGAAGUUCUUCGUUGGGGGCAACUGGAAGAUGAACGGGAGGAAGAAGUGCCUGGGAGAACUCAUCUGCACCCUGAACGCAGCCAACGUGCCGGCAGGCACCGGUGAGCUCUCUGUUUAGCAGGGGCGGCGGGACGUGGGGGUGGAGGGUCGGGCGUGGCACCACCUGCUCAGUGUCUGAGUGGACCUGGAUGGUGGCCUGGGGACAAGAGCCAUUUGGUGUCCCGGCAGCAGAGACUUGCUGAAGAGGAAAAGCAUUUAAAUGCUGCACUGGGUUUGUGGGGCCCGAAAGGGGUUCUUGGGGUUGGGGGCAGGGUGCAAAGAAGAUCGCCCUUGGGAGUGGACCGGAGCUGCACCAGUUAGGGGUUAGGGUCGAGAAGAAGAACCAGUGUCGGGUUGGAUAAGCAAGUGGCACGUGUCCCCCAGAUUGUGAGGGAGGAAGCUGAGCUUGCGCGGGCUCUCAGCUACCUGCCCCCUCGGCCUCUGGCUCCGUGCGUCUCUGCACGUAGCCCGAAACUCCUCCCCGCGCCGUCGUAUGCUUAGGCCUCUGAGCUGGGGGCUUCCACAUCCCUAUCCUUCACAGCAUGGGCCACUCCUGCCUUCCACCUUAGGCCCCUAGCAGAUGCCAAACAUGCUGAGCCGUUGGGG